rnacentral:tRNA from 1 species
UCCUCGAUAGUCUAGUGGUGAGGAUGCGAGCUUGUCACGCUCGAGACCGGGGUUCAAUUCCCCGUCGAGGAG